UUAAAGAUUAUUUAAUGAAGGAGUAGUGGCACUUUUAAUUAAUAUGUCACUAUUUCCAUUAUUUCACGUGAUCAUCUUCAUGUCUGUGUUAGCGUUUGCAUUUUGUUGAUAAUUGAAACAUAUACCAUACAGAGCAAUAAAAAGAGGGAGAGUUUACAAUCUGCCUUCAAUCAGCCUUUUGCAUCUACUUGAGUAAAACUAGUCACUUAAUUCAGAUCUAAUCUAGUCUGCUGUAGGCAUGUUACGGUACGUGUAGGUUUUUCUAGACCAGAUAUUCCUAAGAGGGAACCCCCAGAAACCUCUUUUCUGUGACUACCACGCUCUGAGGAAAAUAUUGACAAGUUGAUCUUUAUCUAAGAAAUAUCCGAAUAAAAGUGACCCAGCUACUAUGGAUCAGAAUAGUAUCACACCACAGUCUGCUUGUGACUAAAGUCUGCCACAGUAAUGGAUCUCCGCGCUGGUAAGUAGAAGCGAUUUUAGAUGCUUUUUUUUUUUUUUUUUAGAGAUCCUCGAGCACCCCAAACAUUUAAUGUACACUAACAUUAAUUAUUAUUAAGAACUAUGCUACUACUACUAAUAACAGUGCAUUUAUUACGAUUUUCGGACAUGAUCUUAGUGCGUUUUAUUUAAACCAUUUAAAACUUUGCAAGUUUAAACGCGUUACCUGACGCAUGGUGCGCACACGUGGGUCUUGUCAAUUAGUCUCGUUGCUUUCAGUAGAGAGGACGGUGUGGCCGUCCCUAUUUAAAAACCAAUCUCUUUCCCGGUGCAGGCCAGCAGCAAUGCAGAAAGAUGCGCUGGGUCGUUGCGAGAGUUUUUUUAAAAAAAAAAAAUACUUUAUAUGAAACCUCUUAUGUCAGGGGUCCGCACUGGUCCAAUAUUCAGUUUAAACUGUUAAAUGGAUCAGUGCAUGCCUCUUACUGGGAGGUAGACUCUGUGUGUUUUGGUUCUUACGUCGCUGAGCUUCUCAGUCAACCAGUAUUUGGUACAUCCGAGAAAACAAACCAAAGCUGACAGAACACAAAGUUUGUGGCAGGAAGAUCGAGAGGAAGAUAGCCAAACCAGAGAGAGGAUGCAGGGUGAUAGUCGAUUAUCAAUCACGUUUUACAAAGGCUCAAAUUACCAAACGUAAUUAAUUAUUAUUGUGGCAUUACAGUAAUGCAGGCUAUUAAUGGGUGCAUGUUAUUUUUGAUAGGGGCUGUGGUAGGGUACGGCUCACGAUCCCGCUUCUGUUAUUCAAACAACCGGUCCCACCACAUGUCAGAUAUCAGAUACUCAGAAGUUGCGCAACACUGAAACCCGCUAGUAAAGAUUGCAGCUCAGUCCUCUGCGCUUGUGCUUGUGCUUCAGUCUAAUCCAUUUUCAAUUUCCAGUUUCUAUCGUCGUCUACCUGUGCCUGCUCACUGCCCGAUCAGACUGCCGACCUGCAGAGGGACCAAAACAGAGGGUGCUGCAGGACAUAGACGAGAUCAUCGUGGAUGCACUGAAAUAUUUCGAUUCACCCAUUCUACCUGUCAACAUUUCCUGUGCGUACCUGAAUGCGACGGAGGCGCUCUGGCCACACCAGCCCGCCGGCAAGGACCUCUCCUCCUACGUCUGCGUUAUGAAGCAAAUCUCCCGCUGGAUCCCUGCGCUGAGCGAAGACCUGAUGGAGGCCAGCCAGUACGCUGAAGACUUAGCCGGUGAACUUCCAGGAACAUACACUCCAGAAACGAACUGUAGUCUACCUGAGUUUAAAAAAAUGUCCGAGCGCGCCCUGGCCGCCAAGUGCCUGCUCCAGCGUGUGCAAAUACGACUCAAGGAAACUCCUGUUUAACAUACUUAUUUAUUUAAAGCACACUUAAGUUAUUUAUUUAUAUAUUUUAUAUGGUUGAGAACCUGUUAUUUAUUUAAUAUUAAAUAAAAGUGAAAAGACACUGAAAAGUUCGUCUUUGUUGCGUUUAUUGUGAUUCAGAAUCAGUUAAGGCAUUUUUUAAAAUAUUAGCCUACAUGUUUCAUGUAGACAUUUGGGAACUUAUGAAGAGAACACAAAAAAAAAAUAAACACAAAAAAAACUCAUAUGCAGCAUAUGAAAAUAUAUUUUCUUCUUAAAACAAACAAAAUCCUUAACGCGGGGAGAAUCAACAAAGGCAGAUCUGAUAUAGACUUGCUGCUGUCAGACAUCAUCUGGCUAAAACCACACUCACAGAAACGGUAUAAAUCUCUCAGCUCUGGUGUGACAAACACGGUGAAAUCAAUGGAUGAGAGUGGGGG